rnacentral:rRNA from 1 species
UCCCAGACUCCUACGGGAGGCAGCAGUGGGGAAUAUUGGACAAUGGGGGGAACCCUGAUCCAGCGACGCCGCGUGAGUGAAGAAGUAUUUCGGUAUGUAAAGCUCUAUCAGCAGGGAAGAAAAUGACGGUACCUGAGUAAGAAGCCCCGGCUAACUACGUGCCAGCAGCCGCGGUAAUACGUAGGGGGCAAGCGUUAUCCGGAUUUACUGGGUGUAAAGGGAGCGUAGACGGCAGUGCAAGUCUGGAGUGAAAGGCGGGGGCUCAACCCCCGGACUGCUCUGGAAACUGUACGGCUGGAGUGCAGGAGAGGUAAGUGGAAUUCCUAGUGUAGCGGUGAAAUGCGUAGAUAUUAGGAGGAACACCAGUGGCGAAGGCGGCUUGCUGGACUGUAAAUGACGCUGAGGCUCGAAAGCGUGGGGAGCAAACAGGAUUAGAUACCCUAGUA